CUAUUUUGAUUAAGAUCAAUUUGUAAUAAAGCUCAAAAUCAGAAAAUGUGAGUCAUCCAUGUCUUUCUUUUAGGCUGUUUUGGCUAUCCUGGAUACCUUGCAUUUCCAUGUGAAUUUUAGGAUCAGCUUGACCAUUUCUGGAAAAAAAAAGGCCAUUGAAAUUUUAUAGUAAUUAUGCUGAAUAUAUCGAUCAAUUGAGAGGUGCUGUCCUGAUAAAAAUAUAUUGCAAAUGCCUAAGGUACAAGGCGAGAUAUUAAGGCUUCAGUUAAGACAACGACUUUUGAGAAGAGUGGAGAAUGAAAAUGGAAAUAGAGGAGACACUACUGAGGUUACGAGAGAGAGAGAGAGGAAAGUGAAAGCGGGAAAAGUUGCUAAUAAUACUGAUAUGCUCACCGUUGUUAAGCUUUAUUUCAAUUUUUUUCUUUAGAAAUAUGUAAAGAGAAAACAUAUUCUUGGUUCCUGAUAACGAUUGCCAAAUUACUUCUCAAAGAGCUUCUCAAUGACAUUGCUAUCAACAUGAAAUGAGAAUAAUGGAUUCCUGAAAAUAUUAGCAGCUUCUGUGUGUUACACAGCAUUUUCAUGAAUCUAAUAGAAUCAGUAAUGGUGUUACAGUAGGUAGUUGGUCACACAUGAUCAGGGCAAGAGAGGGCUCCUUGCAUCCCACCAGAAAUGUCAGCUGAACAUCAGAUGACGGUCAGGCAGUUGUUAGCGGUCUCUCUAAAAUAAUAGUUGGGCACAUCCAGCGCCAGGGAAAGGUAGUCUCCCAAUAGAUAGAAAAACCUGAAACUGGUGAUCAGCUUCCUGAUAAGGUCUCAGGAGUUGGGUGACUGGGCUCGAGCAUGAACACUAAGAGGAAAAAUGGCAAAGUUUAACUGGUGUAUGAAUUCCCCUAGGAACACUCAACUGGUAUGAGAAAAAUGCUUGAAGUGAGCACAUGCACAAUUCCAGUAAACACACUGAGCAUGCAGCCACUCCCAAGAGCUGGCAGGCCACUGCACAUACAAAUAGGCCACCCCAAGGGAAGAAUUGGGAGAAGGGAUGAAAGACCUCAGAAGUAUGCCAACAUGUAAAACUCCAAGUCAAAGAUCAAACAGGGCACUUGAUCUCUCAAGUUGCCUGCUUGGCCCUCUUCCAGAUGAGUAAUUCCAUCUCCAUACCAGAGGAUUUGCCCCUUGGAUUAUUCCCAAAAACUGGAAAAAGUUUGAUUCUCCUAAACCUUAAAAAAAAGCCAAAAACUAGUUUUACUUUGUAAUACUGUUUGACCUAAAAAUGAACUGGGUGAAAAUACAAACAUCAGCCUGAGACCCCAGUAACCUUAUGCAGGAAAUCCUCAAAUUAGCCUCUUCAGUCUUUUACAACUGAGAGCAGAAUAAAGAGGACAGAGGGAAAAAGAAGAACAAACACAAAGAUAAGAGGCAGGCUCAACUAUUGGCUGCUUUAUAAGCUCUCCAGUCCCCUCCAGGUCAUCCUAAGGACACUCCUCCAGGACUCUCAUGGCAACACAUAGUACAAACCAUGACUUCCUAACAGAAAGGGAAAUGACUUCUGUCUAAUUCAAAGAAUAUUAAGGUUUCUGAUUUGCAGAUUGUGACAUGAGAAUAGAGGAAAAACUUUCAGGACACUUAAGGAGAGCUGAAAUGCUCACGAAUAUUAAGCAGAGCAUAAGUCAACUGUAUGGACUGACCUAAUAGAAGACUGAAAUAAUUCUUCUAUUUACACCUUUUAACAAUUGAGUAAAGUAUACUGCUGUAAACAAAAUUUGGAGCAUAUUUGUUUCUCUCUACCUGAUUUCUCUAGAAUUAGGAAACUAUGAAUAUUCUUAACAUGUGAAUAUAGUUAUUUGCAUAAGUGCAGUAAGAAUCUGUUUUCUUUUGCAACAGGACACAAUUGGAAACUGGUUGUUUUACCAAGACUUUGUAAAGCCUUGCUAACUGGAAUUUGUGCUUUCCUUUAAGGAAUCAUAUUUGACUUAUAGAUCCAAUAAAAGCCCUUUGGGAAAACUGGCCUCAUACCUACUCUACACAGUUCCUGUACAGGAUUCCUGACCUGUGGCCAUCAAGCACCAGAUAAUCCUCAGUGAGUGAUACAUCCCCUUAAUAUUCAAGAGCCACCCUUCUGUAGGGGGCCGAUAGAAUGCCCCAUCAGUGGGACAAGACAGAGGUGAAAUCCUGCCCCUCUCUCCCUUGGACCUGGCUAGAUACUGCUUUUACCAUCCCAUGGAGUCACACUGCCCUGACAGGUAACAAGAGCCUAAGGCCCACAGAACAACCACCACGGUCCCUCUGUCAGCAGGGGGCAGUUACAGAAGACUGACCUUCAUCCAUUUUCCCCAAAGAAUUGGGGUCUUGGACUCCUGACGUGUGAAAUGUUAUAGUAGGCAGCUAGUCAGACAUGAGCAGGGAAGGAGAGGGCCCCUCUCCCCAACCAGGAAUGUCCGAUGACCAUCAGGUGAUGGUCAAGUGGUUGUUAACUGUUUCUCUAAAAUAAAAGUAAUGGCAAAACAGCAA